GGGGAUAGCCUUGUGAAAACGAGGGUAAUACCCGAUGUGUCCCUUGACACAAAAGUGUCAAGGGGUAAAGGCGCCCUUGACAUCGUAAGAUGUCAAGGGUGUUGCUUAGAGAUUAGCUCGCGUCCUAUCAGCUAGUUGGUAGGGUAAUGGCCUACCAAGGCAAUUGACGGGUAGCUGGCCUGAGAGGGUGGUCAGCCACAUGGGGACUGAGACACUGCCCCAACUCCUACGGGAGGCUGCAGUGGGGAAUUUUGGACAAUGGGCGCAAGCCUGAUCCAGCAAUGCCGCGUGCAGGAAGAAGGCCUUCGGGUUGUAAACUGCUUUUGUCAGGGAAGAAAUCCUCUAGGUUAAUACCCUUGGGGGGAUGACGGUACCUGAAGAAUAAGCACCGGCUA
rnacentral:rRNA from 1 species